AAUCAACGCUGGCGGCGUGCCUCAGACAUGCAAGUCGAACGCGAAAGGUUCCUUCGGGAACCGAGUAGAGUGGCGCACGGGUGAGUAACACGUAGGUAAUUUGCCUUUGGGUGGGGAAUAACAGCCGGAAACGGCUGCUAAUACCGCAUAAUGCAGCGGCUCGACAUCGAGACAGUUGUUAAAGCGGGGGAUCGCAAGACCUCGCGCCUAAAGAAGAAGCCUGCGGCAGAUAGCUAGUUGGUAGGGGUAAUGGCCUACCAAGGCGACGAUCUGUAACCGGCCUGAGAGGGCGGGUCGGUCACACUGACACUGACAUACGGGUCAGACUCCUACGGGAGGCAGCAGUC
rnacentral:rRNA from 1 species